rnacentral:tRNA from 1 species
GGGGCUAUAGCUCAGCUGGGAGAGCCCCUGCCUUGCACGCAGGAGGUCAGCGGUUCGAUCCCGCUUAGCUCCA